rnacentral:rRNA from 1 species
GUGGGGAAUAUUGGACAAUGGGGGGAACCCUGAUCCAGCCAUGCCGCGUGUGUGAAGAAGGCCUUUUGGUUGUAAAGCACUUUAAGCGAGGAGGAGGCUACCGAGAUUAAUACUCUUGGAUAGUGGACGUUACUCGCAGAAUAAGCACCGGCUAACUCUGUGCCAGCAGCCGCGGUAAUACAGAGGGUGCAAGCGUUAAUCGGAUUUACUGGGCGUAAAGCGCGCGUAGGUGGCCAAUUAAGUCAAAUGUGAAAUCCCCGAGCUUAACUUGGGAAUUGCAUUCGAUACUGGUUGGCUAGAGUAUGGGAUAGGAUGGUAGAAUUCCAGUUGUAGCGGUGAAAUGCGUAGAGAUCUGGAGGAAUACCGAUGGCGAAGGCAGCCAUCUGGCCUAAUACUGACACUGAGGUGCGAAAGCAUGGGGAGCAAACAGGAUUAGAAACCCUGGUAGUCC